rnacentral:rRNA from 1 species
AUUGAACGCUGGCGGCAGGCUUAACACAUGCAAGUCGAGCGGGGUGAUGGUGCUUGCACUAUCACUUAGCGGCGGACGGGUGAGUAAUGCUUAGGAAUCUGCCUAUUAGUGGGGGACAACAUCUCGAAAGGGAUGCUAAUACCGCAUACGUCCUACGGGAGAAAGCAGGGGAUCACUUGUGACCUUGCGCUAAUAGAUGAGCCUACGUCGGAUUAGCUAGUUGGUGGGGUAAAGGCCUACCAAGGCGACGAUCUGUAGCGGGUCUGAGAGGAUGAUCCGCCACACUGGGACUGAGACACGGCCCAGACUCCUAUGGGAGGCAGCAGUGGGGAAUAUUGGACAAUGGGGGGAACCCUGAUCCAGCCAUGCCGCGUGUGUGAAGAAGGCCUUAUGGUUGUAAAGCACUUUAAGCGAGGAGGAGGCUCUUUUGGUUAAUACCCAAGAUGAGUGGACGUUACUCGCAGAAUAAGCACCGGCUAACUCUGUGCCAGCAGCCGCCGCGG